rnacentral:rRNA from 1 species
UACGUAGGGGGCAAGCGUUGUCCGGAAUCAUUGGGCGUAAAGCGCGCGUAGGCGGCCCGAUAAGUCCGCCGUGAAAGUCCAGGGCUCAACCCUGGAAUGCCGGUGGAAACUGUCGGGCUGGAGUCCGGAAGAGGCGAGUGGAAUUCCUGGUGUAGCGGUGAAAUGCGCAGAUAUCAGGAGGAACACCAAUGGCGAAGGCAGCUCGCUGGGACGGUACUGACGCUGAGACGCGAAAGCGUGGGGAGCAAACAGG